rnacentral:rRNA from 1 species
UACGGGGGGGGCAAGCGUUGUUCGGAAUUACUGGGCGUAAAGGGCCAGUAGGCGGCCAACUAAGUCCGACGUGAAAUCCCAAGGCUUAACCUUGGAACUGCGUCGGAUACUGGAUGGCUUGAAUUCGGGAGAGGGAUGCAGAAUUCCGGGUGUAGUGGUGAAAUGCGUAGAGAUCCGGAGGAAUACCAGUGGCGAAGGCGGCACGCUGGGCCAUAACUGACGCUAAGACUCGAAAGCAUGGGUAGCGAACGGG